rnacentral:rRNA from 1 species
GUUUGAUCAUGGCUGAGGAUGAACGCUGGCGGCGUGCUUAACACAUGCAAGUCGAACGAUGAUCUCCAGCUUGCUGGGGGGAUUAGUGGCGAACGGGUGAGUAACACGUGAGUAACCUGCCCUUGACUCUGGGAUAAGCCUGGGAAACUGGGUCUAAUACCGGAUAUGACCAUCUGGCGCAUGUCAUGGUGGUGGAAAGCUUUUUUGUGGUUUUGGAUGGACUCGCGGCCUAUCAGCUUGUUGGUGGGGUAAUGGCCUACCAAGGCGACGACGGGUAGCCGGCCUGAGAGGGUGACCGGCCACACUGGGACUGAGACACGGCCCAGACUCCUACGGGAGGCAGCAGUGGGGAAUAUUGCACAAUGGGCGCAAGCCUGAUGCAGCGACGCCGCGUGAGGGAUGACGGCCUUCGGGUUGUAAACCUCUUUCAGUAGGGAAGAAGCGUAAGUGACGGUACCUGCAGAAGAAGCGCCGGCUAACUACGUGCCAGCAGCCGCGGUAAUACGUAGGGCGCAAGCGUUAUCCGGAAUUAUUGGGCGUAAAGAGCUCGUAGGCGGUUUGUCGCGUCUGCUGUGAAAGACCGGGGCUCAACUCCGGUUCUGCAGUGGGUACGGGCAGACUAGAGUGCAGUAGGGGAGACUGGAAUUCCUGGUGUAGCGGUGAAAUGCGCAGAUAUCAGGAGGAACACCGAU